GACGAACGCUGGCGGCGUGCUUAACACAUGCAAGUCGAACGGAAAGGCCCUGCUUUUGUGGGGUGCUCGAGUGGCGAACGGGUGAGUAACACGUGAGUAACCUGCCCUUGACUUUGGGAUAACUUCAGGAAACUGGGGCUAAUACCGGAUAGGAGCUCCUGCUGCAUGGUGGGGGUUGGAAAGUUUCGGCGGUUGGGGAUGGACUCGCGGCUUAUCAGCUUGUUGGUGGGGUAGUGGCUUACCAAGGCUUUGACGGGUAGCCGGCCUGAGAGGGUGACCGGCCACAGUGGGACUGAGAUACGGCCCAGACUCCUACGGGAGGCAGCAGUGGGGAAUAUUGCACAAUGGGUGGAAGCCUGAUGCAGCAACGCCGUGGGCGGGAUGACGGCCUUCGGGUUGGAAACCGCUUUCGCUCAUGACGAAGCUUUGUGUGACGGUAGUGGGUAAAGAAGCACCGGCUAACUACGUG
rnacentral:rRNA from 1 species